rnacentral:rRNA from 1 species
ACGUAGGUCAGAAGGGUUGUGCGGAAUUACUGGGUGUAAAGGGAGCGCAGGCGGGAAGACAAGUUGGAAGUGAAAUCCAUGGGCUCAACCCAUGAACUGCUUUCAAAACUGUUUUUCUUGAGUAGUGCAGAGGUAGGCGGAAUUCCCGGUGUAGCGGUGGAAUGCGUAGAUAUCGGGAGGAACACCAGUGGCGAAGGCGGCCUACUGGGCACCAACUGACGCUGAGGCUCGAAAGUGUGGGUAGCAAACAG